rnacentral:rRNA from 1 species
UACGUAGGGGGCUAGCGUUGUCCGGAAUCAUUGGGCGUAAAGAGCGCGUAGGCGGCUAGAUAAGUCCGGUGUGAAAGUCACAGGCUCAACCUGUGAAUGCCGCUGGAAACUGUCUGGCUAGAGUCCGGAAGGGGCGAGUGGAAUUCCUGGUGUAGCGGUGAAAUGCGCAGAUAUCAGGAGGAACACCAAUGGCGAAGGCAGCUCGCUGGGACGGUACUGACGCUGAGACACGAAAGCCAGGGGAGCGAACGGG